CCUACGGGAGGCAGCAGUGGGGAAUAUUGGACAAUGGGCGAAAGCCUGAUCCAGCAAUGCCGCGUGAGUGAUGAAGGCCUUAGGGUUGUAAAGCUCUUUUACCAGGGAUGAUAAUGACAGUACCUGGAGAAUAAGCUCCGGCUAACUCCGUGCCAGCAGCCGCGGUAAUACGGAGGGAGCUAGCGUUGUUCGGAAUUACUGGGCGUAAAGCGUACGUAGGCGGUUAUUCAAGUCAGAGGUGAAAGCCUGGAGCUCAACUCCAGAACUGCCUUUGAAACUAGAUAGCUAGAAUCUUGGAGAGGUGAGUGGAAUUCCGAGUGUAGAGGUGAAAUUCGUAGAUAUUCGGAAGAACACCAGUGGCGAAGGCGACUCACUGGACAAGUAUUGACGCUGAGGUACGAAAGCGUGGGGAGCAAACAGGAUUAGAUACCCUGGUAGUCCACGCCGUAAACGAUGAUAACUAGCUGUUCGGGCUCUACGAGCUUGAGUGGCGCAGCUACGACAUUAAGUUAGUCCGUCCGUGGGAGGUACGGUCGCGAGAAGUUAAACUACUAAGUUAAGUUAGUAGAGUUGNGAGNGCGACGAGACGACGACGGAGGAGGAG
rnacentral:rRNA from 1 species